rnacentral:rRNA from 1 species
GAUGAACGCUGGCGGCGUGCCUAAUACAUGCAAGUCGAACGCUGAAAAGAGGAGCUUGCUCUUCUUGGAUUAGCGGCGAACGGGUGAGUAACACGUAGGUAACCUGCCUAUUAGCCGGGGAUAACUUCGGGAAACCAUAGCUAAUACCGCAUAAUAUAUUAUACCGCAUGGCUCAUUUUUGAAAGAGGCAUUUGCUGCCCCACAUAGAUGACUCCGGUGCUCUUAGGUUAGUUGGUAAGGUAACGCCUAACCAAGGCACCGAUGCGUAGCGACCCUGAGAGGGUGAUCGGCCAAACUGGAAUGGAGAAAGGGUCCAGACGCCUACGGGAGGAAGCGGUGGGGAAUUUGGGGCAAUGGGGGAAAGCUUGACGGAGCAAGGCGGGUGGGGGGAGGAAGUUUUUCGGUUGGAAAAAUCCGUUGAUAGGGAAAGAACAGUUGGAUAGUGAAAUAUUCACGUUGUGACGGUAGCUAAUCAGAAAGGGACGGCUAACUACGUG